rnacentral:rRNA from 1 species
GAACCUUACCAACCUUUGACAUGUCUCGUUUGGUUACCAGAGAUGGUUUCCUUCAGUUAGGCUGGCGAGAACACAGGUGCUGCAUGGCUGUCGUCAGCUCGUGUCGUGAGAUGUUGGGUUAAGUCCCGCAACGAGCGCAACCCACGCCCUUAGUUGCCAUCAUUCAGUUGGGCACUCUAG